rnacentral:lncRNA from 1 species
GUCGGGUGGUCUGUUCAAGGCUUGACGCUUCUGGUGAGGCGCCGGGGCCGGAUGCUAUUGCUGAGGCGCCGGGCCGGACGCUUCUGCUGAGGCGCCGGGCCGGACGCUUCUGCUGAGGCGCUUCUCCUGAGGCUUCUGCUGAGGCGCCGGACGCUUCUCCUGAGGCUUCUGCUGAGGCGCCGGACGCUUCUGCUGAGGCGCCGGACGCUUCUGCUGAGGCGCCGGACGCUUCUGCUGAGGCGCCGGGCGCUCUGCUGAGGCGCCGGACGCUUCUGCUGAGGCGCCGGACGCUUCUGCUGAGGCGCCGGGGCCGGACUUCACACUUGACGGGGCAUUGUGGCCAGUAGAUUCUGCUGACGUGGCAUUGUGGCCAGUAGCUUCUGCUGACGUGGCAUUGUGGCCAGUAGCUUCUGCUGACGUGGCAUUGUGGCCAGUAGCUUCUGCUGACGUGGCAUUGUGGCCAGUAGCUUCUGCUGACGUGGCAUUGUGG